rnacentral:lncRNA from 1 species
ACAAUUUUUUUUUGUAAUCAAUUAUUUUUUGGAAAAGAUUUGACUUGAGAAUUUCAGAAAAGGUAUCAAAAGUUUACAUGAAUAAUUUUAGCACUUAUUUGUAUGAUCCUGUAUAUUAUGAACAUUCGUUACUAUAUAAAUAAAGUUUACUAAUCGAUCGGUGGUCAUUGAUAUAUCAUACAGACCCUCUCUAUUUAAUAAACUCUGUGACCGCCGU